rnacentral:tRNA from 1 species
AGCUAGGUGGCUCAGAGGAUAGAGCACCAGGCCUGGAGUUGGGAGGUCCUGGUUCAAGUCUGGCCAAGCUA